rnacentral:rRNA from 1 species
CCUACGGGAGGCAGCAGUGAGGAAUAUUGGUCAAUGGACGAGAGUCUGAACCAGCCAAGUAGCGUGAAGGAUGACUGCCCUAUGGGUUGUAAACUUCUUUUAUACGGGAAUAAAGUUUGGUAUGCAUACCAUUUUGUAUGUACCAUAUGAAUAAGGAUCGGCUAACUCCGUGCCAGCAGCCGCGGUAAUACGGAGGAUCCGAGCGUUAUCCGGAUUUAUUGGGUUUAAAGGGAGCGUAGGUGGAUUGUUAAGUCAGUUGUGAAAGUUUGCGGCUCAACCGUAAAAUUGCAGUUGAUACUGGAUAUCUUGAGUGCAGUUGAGGCAGGCGGAAUUCGUGGUGUAGCGGUGAAAUGCUUAGAUAUCACGAAGAACUCCGAUUGCGAAGGCAGCCUGCUAAGCUGCAACUGACAUUGAGGCUCGAAAG